CCUACGGGAGGCAGCAGUGGGGAAUAUUGGGCAAUGGGCGCAAGCCUGACCCAGCAACGCCGCGUGAAGGAAGAAGGCUUUCGGGUUGUAAACUUCUUUUCUGAGGGACGAAGAAAGUGACGGUACCUCAGGAAUAAGCCACGGCUAACUACGUGCCAGCAGCCGCGGUAAUACGUAGGUGGCAAGCGUUAUUCGGAUUGAUUGGUUGUAAAGGGCGUGUAGGCAGGACAGCAAGUCAGAUGUGAAAACUCAGGGCUCAACCCUGAGCCUGCAUGUGAAACUGUUUUUCUUGAGUGCUGGAGAGGCAAUCGGAAUUCCGGGUGUAGCGGUGAAAUGCGUAGAUAUACGGAGGAACACCAGUGGCGAAGGCGGAUUGCUGGACAGUAACUGACGCUGAGGCGCGAAAGCGUGGGGAGCAAACAGGAUUAGAUACCCGAGUAGUC
rnacentral:rRNA from 1 species